rnacentral:rRNA from 1 species
GACGAACGCUGGCGGCGUGCUUAACACAUGCAAGUGGAGCGACGAACCGGGGCUUGCCCCGGGGCAGAGCCGCGAACGGGUGAGUAACACGUGGGUUACCUGCCCCGAUGACCGGGACAACCCGAGGAAACUCGGGCUAAUACCGGAUGUGGUCUUCGGACGAAAGGAAGCUUUUAUUAGCCUCCGCAUUGGGGAUGGGCCCCGCGGCGCAUUAGCUUGUUGGUUGGGUAACGGCCUACCAAGGCGACGAUGCGAGCUGGUCUGAGAGGACGAUCAGCCACACUGGGACUGAGACACGGCCCAGACUCCUACGGGAGGCAGCAGUGGGGAAUCUUGCACAAUGCGCGAAAGCGUGAUGCAGCAACGCCGCGUGAGGGAAGACGGCCU